rnacentral:lncRNA from 1 species
GAAGACCUUUCUCUCUGUCUCUCUCACUGUCUAACUCUGCCUGUCAAAUGAAAAAAAAAUAUGGGAGAAUAUAGGCAACACAAUAUGGUGAACAAACCAGUGGAUUAGAAAGAUGAAUAUGAAUGCAUCAUGAUUUGCAGAAAAUGACUGUAGUACCAGUAUGAUUUAAAAGCAUGUUGAAAAUGCAAAAAAUCAAACUGCAGACAGAAUCAUAUAGUCACUAAAAUGUUUGGCAAUUCCGCAGAUAUGACCAAUGACAUGAACACUGGCCACACGCAAAAAUAUAACUCAAGGAAAAAGAUUGACUUCAAUCGUAAUGAAGUCUAGGACUAAAUGUGUAUGAUGUUUCUAGAAACUUACAAGCUUCAGUUUAGAAUUAUUAGAUAAUAUCCAAAUAAACCAACAAGGUAAACACUCACGGGCUUGAGGAUAAAGUAUCAUGACAUUUGCUCUCACUGUGAAUGUUUUGAUGUGAUAAAACUGGGUCAGACGUGUGUUAUGGAAAAACGUUAAGAGAUUACUCUAAAAUGCUGAAGACAAAAAUGAAAAUGUCAAAAUAAUUACCUAUUUGUAAAAUCAUUCUUUCUGAUAUUAAAGUAUUUUACAACUGAGUAUAAAGUAAGACCUUUUUUGUAUUUGCUUAUGACGAGAGUAAUAACACCCAAGCAGCUGAAUAGCAAGUAGAUGCAGACUCUGACAUGGCACGGAUCUACUGAAGACUACUGGAAAUAAUAAACAUUAUCUUUCCAUGUACAAAAAUGAAUUAUUUAAUAAUUAAAUAUCUAGAUAUUAAAGGGACAAUUUUAAAAUCUCAGGAAGGAAAUACCAGGGAAUGUUUUUGCCAUCUCUUGGCAAAGAAGAAUUAGAAGUCAGAAAAAUAAGAACUUUUGUAAAAAAAAAAAAAAAAAAAAAAAAGAAAUUAUCAAUUCCCAACUUGACUCUCACUGGGAUUAAACAUGACAAUAGGUCUGAUCUGAUUUCAUCAUCAUUUAAAAAAAAAUCAUCUAUUAUUUUUCACUUUAUGUUUCUGUGUGGGAACAAACUGUUGAAAUCCUUACUUAAGGUAUACUAA